UACGUAGGGUGCGAGCGUUGUCCGGAAUUAUUGGGCGUAAAGGGCUCGUAGGCGGUCUGUCGCGUCGGGAGUGAAAACUCAGGGCUUAACCCCGAGUCUGCAUUCGAUACGGGCUAGCUAGAGUGUGGUAGGGGAGAUCGGAAUUCCUGGUGUAGCGGUGGAAUGCGCAGAUAUCAGGAGGAACACCGGUGGCGAAGGCGGGUCUCUGGGCAGUGACUGACGCUGAGGAGCGAAAGCGUGGGGAGCGAACAGG
rnacentral:rRNA from 1 species